rnacentral:lncRNA from 1 species
UUGAGUUCAAUUUUGGGUACAAUGCUUUGGGAAAGACUAUGAUAAACCAGAUAACUAGCAGAGAAGGUCAAGCUGAAUGGCAAGGGGUCUUUCACUGAUGUCAUAUGAGGACUGUUUGAAGCACCUGGGGACCUUUUAGCCCACAAGGAGUGGAAACAUGAUUCUUUAAGUAUUUAGUAUUUAAGUAUUUAAAAUAUUGUCACUUUGAAGCCUUGUUCUUUGUGGCCCAAGAGGGAAGAACUUGGGAGCCAUGGGUACAAGGUUUAAAGAGGGAAGAACUUGGGAGCCAUGGGUACAAGGUUUAAAGAGGGAAGAACUUGGGAGCCAUGGGUACAAGGUUUAAAGAGGGAAGAACUUGGGAGCCAUGGGUACAAGGUUUAAAGGAGCAAAUUGAUGUUUAAUCUAAGGAGAAAAAACCUUAACUGAUAAUUAGAGCCAUACAUUAAUGAAAUGGAUUGCCUCAGGAAGUAGUGGAUGUCUUCUAGCAGAAGUUAGAUGGUGGACUUGUUGAGUUUUCCAGAGAAGGGAUUUUAGAGGGCUUCAGGAUCCCUUCCCAAUCUUAAUUUCUUUGAUUUUCUGAAGACAACAAUGACCAUGCCAGAUAUCAAGAAGAAGAAACUUCUUUUGGAGCUCAGCAAAAAAAAAAAGGCUUUGCUGCAGACACCAAGGACAAAUAUGUACAGUGCAGAGGCUGAGCGUGGAGCUUCACUGGGGAGAGAUUGCGAAUCAACCAGUAGAUGUACAGACUCCUUUCCUUCAUAGAUCACUUCAAAGGGUCUCCCUCAAGAGAUUUGCUCAAAGGCUUUGUGGCCUGUUGGUUUGUGUAUAAUGUUCAAGUAAUUGUUCUCUGGGAAGGGAAGGGAGAGGGAUACCUUGGAAAUAUAAGUGAUAUUAAAGCAAAAUUAGCAGACCUGUAGAACAUUGAAUAGCAUCAUAAAAAUGAAAUGGACUAAAUCUUCACCAACAGGAAAUGAUAUGGGAUCAUUUUUGAAUUAGUCGUCUUUGUAUAGUCAAAACAACUGGAACAGAGAGUACAAUACAUACCAAGAGUUAAAAGGCAAAGAUGAAGAGAAGAUACUGUAUAUGAUUGCAACAGUUCCAAAGUAGUUAUUUAAACAAGCUCCAGAAUUUGGAAAUGGAUAAAAGGAAAGGUAUUGAUCUGAAUCAGUGUGACUUAAAAAAAAAAAGAUAUUUUACUUUUCCUCUAUUACAUGUAAAAACAAUUUUAACAUUCUUCUUUUUUAAGUUUUGAGUUCUAAAUUCUUCCCCAUCUACUGACCCUCCCUCACUAUCUCCUUGCCUUUCCCCCUUUCUGAAACAGUAGGCGAUCUGAUACAUAUUUUACAUUUGUAAUCAUGUAAAACAUUUUCCCAUAUUAGUGGUUUUGUGGAAGAAUUGUCAAAUGGAAAAAAAGAAUAAUAAAAAAAUGAAAUGCAAUGUUUCA